CAGAAAUCUAUGCCAAACUGGAGGAGAUUGAGGCUGACAAGGCACCUGCCAGGGCAUCAGUCAUUCUCGCUGGGCUUGGCUUUACCCCUAAAAUGCAGCAGCAGCCCACCCGGGAGUUCUCAGGUGGCUGGAGGAUGAGGCUGGCCCUGGCCCGGGCCCUCUUUGCUAGGCCAGAUCUUCUGCUGUUAGAUGGUGAGUUUGAAAUGGGGCACCCUGACUUUAGGAUGGGCAGGGGUGGUAGCAUCCAAGUUCCUAGUUCUCCAGCCCUUCAAUCCCAAGUGUGUGCUCCCCUGCUUCUCCAGAACCUACAAACAUGCUGGAUGUCAGGGCCAUCCUGUGGCUGGAGAAUUACCUGCAGACGUGGCCCUCCACCAUCCUAGUCGUCUCCCACGACCGCAACUUCUUGAAUGCCAUCGCCACAGACAUCAUCCACCUGCACAGCCAGCGGCUAGAUGGUUACCGGGGAGACUUUGAGACCUUCAUCAAGAGUAAGCAGGAGCGGC
rnacentral:sRNA from 1 species